GGUUGUAGGGGGUGUAAUGGACCUCCUAGCCAUCGACGCGUACGGGUGUUGGGAGACAUAGCCCGGAGAUGGAUUCUGAGACACGAAUCCAGACCCUACGGGGUGCAGCAGGCGCGAAAACUUCACACUGCAGGAAACUGUGAUGAGGGAACUCCAAGUGCUAUCACUAUGUGGUAGCUUUUCUUGACUAUUAAUCGGUCAUGGAAUAAGGGCUGGGAAAGACCGGUGCCAGCCGCCGCGGUAAUACCGGCAGCUCAAGUGGUCGUCGCUUUUAUUGGGCCUAAAACGUCCGUAGCCUGUUUGGUAAAUCUGUGGGUAAAUCAACCAGCUUAACUGGUUGAAUUCUGCAGAGACUGCCAGACUAGGGACCGGGAGAGGUGUGGGGUACUCUAGGGGUAGGGGUAAAAUCCUGUCAUCCUUAGAGGACCACCAGUUGCGAAGGCGCCACACUGGAACGGAUCCGACGGUCAGGGACGAAGCCUAGGGGCACGAACCGGAUUAGAUACCCGGGUAGUCCUAGGUGUAAACGCUGUGAACUUGGUGUCGGGGAUCCGUAAUGGGUCCUCGGUGCCGGAGUGAAGAUGUUAAGUUCACUGCCUGGGGAGUACGGUCGCAAGGCUGAAACUCAAAUGAAU
rnacentral:rRNA from 1 species